rnacentral:rRNA from 1 species
GAUGAACGCUGGCGGCGUGCCUAACACAUGCAAGUCGAACGGAAAGACGAGCUGUUUGCUCCUCUUACGUUAGCGGCGGACGGGUAACGAACACGUAGAUCACCUACCUAUAGGACUCGGCUAACUUCGAGACACCGGAGCUAAUACCGGAUUAUAUAUUGAACCGCAUGGUUCUAUAGUGAGAGACGGAUUUGCUUUCACUUGUUGAUGGAUCCGCGCCGGAUUAGCUAGUUGGUGAGGGAGCGGCUUACCAAGGCAACGAUGCGUAGCCGCCGUGAGAGGGAGAGGGGCCACAGUGGAACUGGGACACGGUCAAGACUCCGACGGGAGGCAGCAGUAGGGGAUCUGCCGCAAUGGGCGAAGGCCUGACGGAGCAACGCCGCGGGAGUGAUGAAGGUCUUCGGAUUGUAAAACUCAGUUAUUAGGGAAGAACAAGUGUGUAAGUAGCUAUGCAGGUCUUGACGGUACCUGAAGAGGAAGCCACGGCUAACUACGUG